rnacentral:rRNA from 1 species
UGAGGAAUAUUGGUCAAUGGGCGGGAGCCUGAACCAGCCAAGCCGCGUGACGGAAGAAGGCGCUAAGCGUCGUAAACGUCUUUUGCCGGGGAACAAAGGCGCGGACGCGUCCGCGUGUGAGUGUACCCGGAGAAAAGCAUCGGCUAACUCCGUGCCAGCAGCCGCGGUAAUACGGAGGAUGCGAGCGUUAUCCGGAUUUAUUGGGUUUAAAGGGUGCGUAGGCGGCCCGUUAAGUCAGCGGUAAAAGCCCGGGGCUCAACCCCGGCGAGCCGUUGAAACUGGGGGCUAGAGACGGCGAGAAGUACGCGGAAUGCGCGGUGUAGCGGUGAAAUGCAUAGAUAUCGCGCAGAACUCCGAUUGCGAAGGCAGCUGACUGUAUCGUAACUGACGCUGAAGCUCGAAAGUGUGGGUAUCGAACAGGAUUAGAUACC